CCAGUCUGCUGUAUCUUGGUAUAGCAACCCAAAAGGACUAAGACACUUGUUUUCCACAGUGUUGUGGAAAACAAAGGAGAUGUUGAUGGAAAACAAUUUGAAGAUGGCUGGUAGCUCCAUGAUAGAAGCAAAAUGUCAGAGCUGGCAGAAGUUUAAUAGAGAGAUCCUGGAAAACCUACAGAAUGGAAGACCACAGUCAAUUCUGGAAGUCAGGAAGGCUUCCAUAUGUACUAGGUUAAACCUGCUCAGAAGCAAGCAGCCCUAACAACUAGCUUGGCCAUGCAAGCUCUGCCUUGGAGGGUGGAUGACAAAAAGAAACAGAGCAAGCCAAGAAGACAGAAUCAGUAUAGCCGAGAUGUGUGCAAAGAGAAGCCAGGAAGCUAACACUGAGAAUGUACAAGAAAGCUUUACAUGAUGUUACAGAAUAUUGUCUGGAAAAA